CAAUACAUGAGUACAGCGGCGCACGGGUGAGUAACACGUGGAUAACCUGCCUCAAAGUGGGGAAUAACACCGGGAAACCGGUGCUAAUACCGCAUAUUCUGACGAGGUCUGCGGAUUUCGUCAGGAAAGGAGCAAUUCGCUAUGAGAGGGGUCCGCGGCUGAUUAGCUAGUUGGUGAGGUAAUGGCUCACCAAGGCCACGAUCAGUAGCCGGUCUGAGAGGACGGUCGGCCACACUGGAACUGAGACACGGUCCAGACUCCUACGGGAGGCAGCAGUGGGGAAUUUUUCGCAAUGGGGGCAACCCUGACGAAGCAAUGCCGCGUGGAUGAUGAAGUCUCUUGGGACGUAAAAUCCUUUCGACAGGGACGAAACCGCAAGGUUGACGGUACCUGUAGAAGAAGCCCCGGCUAACUCCGUGCCAGCAGCCGCGGUAAUACGGGGGGGGCAAGCGUUG
rnacentral:rRNA from 1 species